UUGUAAAACUGAAGGCGGAUCUCGUUGGACUAUACAGCUCACCAGUGAUCAGGGAUACAUGUAAAUCUCCUGCACAGCUUCUUAGCUUUUUGGCACAGAAAGAUCUCAUUGAGACUGUUCCUCAGGCCACAAAGUUGCUCCAGCUUGUGCUCACUGUUCCAGCUAUGGCAGUAUCGGUGGAGCGGUCAUUCUCAGCACUGAAGAGACUAAAAACAUACAGUCGGAACAAGACCAAUCAAGGACAACUUGCUUCACUGGCUGUGAUCGCCAUUGAAACAGAGAGACUUUUAAAAUUAAAAGAAGAUAACGAAAAAUUCUACCAGCAAGUCAUAGAUGCUUUUGUUCAGAAAGAGCAGCGGAUGGACUUCAGUUAUAAGUAAUGGAGAUGGAAAAAAGUUGGAAAAUGAGAAUAGCAAGCAAUCAAGCUUAAAGACAGAGAAGCAUGAUGAUGAAGAGGUGAUAUAUUGCCAUGAAAAGGACACAAGAAGAGAAGAGAGAAACCACUCAGAGAAUGGAAAGGAGAAGUCAUCCACUUCUGUUCCUGUUGGCAUCCCUAGCUUCCUAUCCCAGCAAGACCUGAAAGGACAGGAAAAGGAAAAAUAUGAGAUAAAAGAGAAAAAUUGAUUUGAUUUAUAUGAAUGUGGUAUAAACCGGACUGAAGGGGAAAUGUAUGAAAAAUAUGUCAGUAAUUUGUUCUCUCUUACUUUACUUUACACACUGGAGAGAAACCGUAUAAAUGCAUUAAAUGUGGAAAGACCUUUA